rnacentral:rRNA from 1 species
ACCCUGGUAGUCCACGCUGUAAACGAUGUCGACUUGGAGGUUGUGCCCUUGAGGUGUGGCUUCCGGAGCUAACGCGUUAAGUCGACCGCCUGGGGAGUACGACCGCAAGGUUAAAACUCAAAUGAAUUGACGGGGGCCCGCACAAGCGGUGGAGCAUGUGGUUUAAUUCGAUGCAACGCGAAGAACCUUACCUGGUCUUGACAUCCACGGAAGUUUUCAGAGAUGAGAAUGUGCCUUCGGGAACCGUGAGACAGGUGCUGCAUGGCUGUCGUCAGCUCGUGUUGUGAAAUGUUGGGUUAAGUCCCGCAACGAGCGCAACCCUUAUCCUUUGUUGCCAGCGGUCCGGCCGGGAACUCAAAGGAGACUGCCAGUGAUAAACUGGAGGAAGGUGGGGAUGACGUCAAGUCAUCAUGGCCCUUACGACCAGGGCUACACACGUGCUACAAUGGCGCAUACAAAGAGAAGCGACCUCGCGAGAGCAAGCGGACCUCAUAAAGUGCGUCGUAGUCCGGAUUGGAGUCUGCAACUCGACUCCAUGAAGUCGGAAUCGCUAGUAAUCGUGGAUCAGAAUGCCACGGUGAAUACGUUCCCGGGCCUUGUACACACCGCCCGUCACACCAUGGGAGUGGGUUGCAAAAGAAGUAGGUAGCUUAACCUUCGGGAGGGCGCUUACCACUUUGUGAUUCAUGACUGGGGUGAAGUCGUAACAAGGUAACCGUAGGGGAACCUGCGGUUGGAUCAC